GUAACAAGGUCUCCGUUGGUGAACCAGCGGAGGGAUCAUUAUAGAGUUUUCUAAACUCCCAACCCAUGUGAACUUACCAUUGUUGCCUCGGCAGAAGCUGCUCGGUGCACCUUACCUUGGAACGGCCUACCCUGUAGCGCCUUACCCUGGAACGGCUUACCCUGCAACGGCUGCCGGUGGACUACCAAACUCUUGUUAUUUUAUGGUUAUCUGAGCGUCUUAUUUUAAUAAGUCAAAACUUUCAACAACGGAUCUCUUGGUUCUGGCAUCGAUGAAGAACGCAGCGAAAUGCGAUAAGUAAUGUGAAUUGCAGAAUUCAGUGAAUCAUCGAAUCUUUGAACGCACAUUGCGCCCAUUAGUAUUCUAGUGGGCAUGCCUGUUCGAGCGUCAUUUCAACCCUUAAGCCUAGCUUAGUGUUGGGAGCCUACUGCUUUUGCUAGCUGUAGCUCCUGAAAUACAACGGCGGAUCUGCGAUAUCCUCUGAGCGUAGUAAUUUUUAUCUCGCUUUUGACUGGAGUUGCAGCGUCUUUAGCCGCUAAACCCCCCAAUUUUUAAUGGUUGACCUCGGAUCAGGUAGGAAUACCCGCUGAACUUAAGCAU
rnacentral:rRNA from 1 species